GACGAUCACCAUUAAAGAGACGGGAAAGGUCUGCCGUGGUCCAAUGAUAGGGAUUUUUGUCGCUUCCCUUCUUGUUUGUUUCUUUCUAUAUCACCUUAUUGAGUUGAGUUAAUGGAAUCCCUCCGGCGUCCGCCAUUUCCAAUGUCUUCAAACUCUUUUCUCAGGUCUCUGUUUCAUGAUUUCAGAUCCUCUCUCUUUUUUUUUUGUUUUUCUUCUCUUGCCCUUUUGAUCCUCAUUUAUUUAAUUGAGUUUGGGAUGGAUUCUCAAAGCAAAGGCGUAACCUUGAUUUUCUAUUCUUGACUUUGAAAUGGUUAUCCCCAGUUGUGUUUCGAAGCUCACGAUUUAAGUUUGCGGAUUAUGUUUUUUUUUUUUUUGGAAAUUUUGCCUGAUCUUCCUCCAAAAAGAUUGGAUUUUGCUGCAGCCGAAUUGUUCGGGAGAUAAUUCCAUUCUACCAUGACGUCGUGCCUCUGCAGUGGCACUGGCGGUGGCGGCCGGAGCUGCGGCUUUGACAUCGUCAAGUCGACGUCUUCAUCGUGGAGUCACUCCUUGGAAUCUUCGUCGUCCUCCUCCCCUUCUUCCGCCCUCUCUGAGUCGAGCAAUUCGCCAACGCUCGCAAUAUCCAUCAAGAGGGAGAGGACCCCUCGGAAGCGGCCCAACCAGACCUACAACGAGGCCACCGCCAUCCUCUCCGCCACAUACCCCGUCGUCUUCUCCGCCGGCAAGACCGCAAGGCCUUCCGUUUCCAUCCCCACCAAUCCAUUCCACCCCUUCUCGGAACCCCCCGACCUCCUCCCUCCUCUGCCGAUUCUCAACGACGCCGCAUUCCUGAUCCCAAACCCCAAUCCACCGUCCCCAGCCGCUGCAACCCACUUCCAUCUCAAGAGCAAGACUUACGCCACUGUUUCCAAGGACUCCGCCGAGAGCCCGGCGAGCGAAGUGUCUUGGGAGCCGAAAUCGCCGGCGCGCCCUAUCGAGGAGGACUUCGAUCCAGAGUCCAUUCUCGAAGCAGAGGUGAAACAGGGCAUUGAUAGCAUCAUUGGAACCCUGGCCUUCAACACUCCAAUAACGGACGCCGUCGAUUCCCUGAUCCGUAGCUUCGUUGAACGCAGAAUCCCCAGCAGUUUCGAGCACGGCUUCGGAUCCGAAUGGGCGCUGAGGAAGAGGGACGAAGACGAGUGGUGGAGCUCGAAGGUGGUGCCGGUGUCGGAUAUAACACCAGAUUACAAGCCUCCUUCGUCUCCGGCAACGGCGGCGUCGCAGAAAAAGAACAAGAAGAAGGUGGAGAAGAAGGAAAUCGAUGUAAUGGACUCAGAACAGGGGAGGUGGAAAUCUGCUCAAUCUGCUCUGCUGGGCCUCAAGCUGAACCAUGAAGAAGUCCUCGGGCAUUGGGCCGAUCGCGGUUCGGUCUUCUCCGACCGGACCGGCUCGUCAAAUUCGUCAGUGGAUGCUACGGAGUUUCUAGGUACUUCUGCCCUCGGACAUCUAUCGUCCACCCGAUCCAGCCGUGGGAAGCGACUCCGGAGAGGUCAGCGUUCAGCGUUGUAAAGGGAAGAGGAUCAGCCACGUGUUCUCGAAAAUACAACGAAGAAAGCCAACACGGACGAAGGCAAACCAACCUUGAUAAGGGGCCAUCUCUUCUCAAUAAAAACACCCGAAGCAAAGGGAUGAAUUAGUUACAAAGUUUUGAUUGGGGGAGACCGAAAUUUAAAGUUUCUUCUACAUAAACAUUUCCUUUGCUUUCAAUGUCCCGCGGAUCUGAUUCAAUCUAAUUUUGUUUGCUAUUUUCUUCAC